UACGAAGGGGGCUAGCGUUGCUCGGAAUCACUGGGCGUAAAGGGCGCGUAGGCGGCUAUUUAAGUCGGAGGUGAAAGCCUGGGGCUCAACCCCAGAAUUGCCUUCGAUACUAGAUGGCUUGAGAGUGAGAGAGGUAAGUGGAACUGCGAGUGUAGAGGUGAAAUUCGUAGAUAUUCGCAAGAACACCAGUGGCGAAGGCGGCUUACUGGCUCAUUUCUGACGCUGAGGCGCGAAAGCGUGGGGAGCAAACAGG
rnacentral:rRNA from 1 species